CAGUUCACUGAAGAAGAGAAAACCUGAAGGAAGAAACUAAGUUGAGGGUGGUUGUGUUUUCUCUAUGGAUCUUUGUGGGAGGAAGGUGCCUUUAGGUAAUGUUAAAGGUAUUUUCAAGAUCCUGCUGGGGCAAGAGAAGAAAAAUCUGGAAGCUGGCUGAAGUGGUCAUGUGUCUGAAGAUUAGGUGUAUGGCCAUAUAGAAGCCUUGUGACCAGCUGAAUUAUUAGACAGCACACCACAAAAACCUUGUUCAUCAUCUCUCUAGAGGCAGAAAUUUGCUUUAUGACAAAGCCUUCCUUAGGAAGAGGACACAUUACCCUUGGAGCAAGAGAAAACAUAUACUGAAGUGAAAGCAUGUCAAAGAAACCUGUGGGUGAAGAGGGAGAGAGGAGAGGAAGAUGAUAAAUUGAGCUGGACAGCAGCUGGCCUUUGAGAAAGUAGAAAGCACAUAAUCUCUGGUAUUUUCUUCAUUUGCAAUGCUGAAUAUUCUGUUGCAUUAAUCAGCGGCUACUUGAGCAGCCAUAGCAGCAGAAAAAAAAAGAACAAAAAAAAGUCUAGACCACCACUGUGAGAAAUGAAUCAGUCUUUGAAGUACAGUAAUGAAUUAAUUUGUUACAAAAAAUGUAAAAUAAUAAUAGAAAUAUGAUCCCUCAUCUCUUUACCCCAGAAGGGUUCUAACGUGUGAGUUCUCAUUAGUAUUCAUUUUUGUCAAAUAAAAGGGUUAUGCACCUUUACUGGAUAAUGUUUAAAUGUCAAAAAUGUUUGCAUUGCUGUCAAAUUAGUGAUUCUUUUUGCAGUCAUCUAACCCGUUUGUAUGUAAUGCACAGAAGUAGUUUGAAAUUGAGGCUAUAACAAACUGGGAAGUUCCCAAAUG